GGGAGGUCCAGAGUUGAUCCUGGACAUUCAAAACAUCUCCAGGAGGUCCAGAACUGAGCCGGGAGGUCCAGAGUUUGUCCAGAACUGAACCAGGAGAUCCAGAACUGAGCCAGGAGGUCCAGAACUGAUCCAGGAGGUCCAAAGUUGAUCCAGGAGGUGCAGAGUUGAUCCAGGAGAUCCAGAACUGAUCCGAGAGGUCCAGAACUGAUCCAGGAGGUCCAGAGUUGAUCCAGGAGGUUCAGAACCUCUCCAGGAGAUCCAGAAUUUGUCCAGAACUGAUCCAGGAGAUCCAGAAUUGAUCCAGGAGGUCCAGAACUGAUCCAGAAUCAAUUCAGGUGGUUCAGAACAUCUUCAGGAGACCCUGGAGGUCCAGAACUGAUCCAGGAGGUCCAGAGUUGAUCCAGAAUCAAUUCAGGUGGUUCAGAACAUCUUCAGGAGAUCCAGAAU
rnacentral:lncRNA from 1 species